rnacentral:tRNA from 1 species
GCAGACGUAGCUCAGUCGGUAGAGCACCGCGCCCGGAGGCGGAUGCAGGUUCAAACCCUGCCGUCUGUUCCA